GAACGUUGGCGGCGUGCUUAAUACAUGCAAGUCAACUGAAGCACCGGUAGUAAUACUGGUGUGGAGGUGGCGCACGGGUGAGUAACACGUAGGUAAUCUGCCUUCAGGUCUGACAUAACCCCGAGAAAUCGGGGCUAAUAGCAGAUGAUGCAGCGGCUUGACAUCAAGACAGUUGUUAAAGCUUCGGCGCCUGAAGAUGAGCCUGCGUCUGAUUAGCUAGUUGGCGGAGUAAUGGCCCACCAAGGCUACGAUCAGUAACUGGUCUGAGAGGAUGAUCAGUCACACUGGAACUGAGACACGGUCCAGACUCCUACGGGAGGCAGCAGUAAGGAAUAUUGCUCAAUGGGAGAAAUCCUGAAGCAGCAACGCCGCGUGAGGGAUGAAGGGCUUUUGCUCGUAAACCUCUGUAGUGAGGGAAAAAUUUCCACUCUGUGGAAUAUGAUGGUACCUCAAAAGUAAGCCCCGGCUAACUACGUG
rnacentral:rRNA from 1 species